CGGCGAGGGGAGUGAAAAAGAACCUGAAACCGUGUACGUACAAGCAGUGGGAGCCUCUUAAUGGGGUGACUGCGUACCUUUUGUAUAAUGGGUCAGCGACUUAUAUUCUGUAGCAAGGUUAACCGAAUAGGGGAGCCGAAGGGAAACCGAGUCUUAACUGGGCGUUAAGUUGCAGGGUAUAGACCCGAAACCCGGUGAUCUAGCCAUGGGCAGGUUGAAGGUUGGGUAACACUAACUGGAGGACCGAACCGACUAAUGUUGAAAAAUUAGCGGAUGACUUGUGGCUGGGGGUGAAAGGCCAAUCAAACCGGGAGAUAGCUGGUUCUCCCCGAAAGCUAUUUAGGUAGCGCCUCGUGAAUUCAUCUCCGGGGGUAGAGCACUGUUUCGGCAAGGGGGUCAUCCCGACUUACCAACCCGAUGCAAACUGCGAAUACCGGAGAAUGUUAUCACGGGAGACACACGGCGGGUGCUAACGUCCGUCGUGAAGAGGGAAACAACCCAGACCGCCAGCUAAGGUCCCAAAGUCAUGGUUAAGUGGGAAACGAUGUGGGAAGGCCCAGACAGCCAGGAUGUUGGCUUAGAAGCAGCCAUCAUUUAAAGAAAGCGUAAUAGCUCACUGGUCGAGUCGGCCUGCGCGGAAGAUGUAACGGGGCUAAACCAUGCACCGAAGCUGCGGCAGCGACACUAUGUGUUGUUGGGUAGGGGAGCGUUCUGUAAGCCUGUGAAGGUGGCCUGUGAGGGUUGCUGGAGGUAUCAGAAGUGCGAAUGCUGACAUAAGUAACGAUAAAGCGGGUGAAAAGCCCGCUCGCCGGAAGACCAAGGGUUCCUGUCCAACGUUAAUCGGGGCAGGGUGAGUCGACCCCUAAGGCGAGGCCGAAAGGCGUAGUCGAUGGGAAACAGGUUAAUAUUCCUGUACUUGGUGUUACUGCGAAGGGGGGACGGAGAAGGCUAUGUUGGCCGGGCGACGGUUGUCCCGGUUUAAGCGUGUAGGCUGGUUUUCCAGGCAAAUCCGGAAAAUCAAGGCUGAGGCGUGAUGACGAGGCACUACGGUGCUGAAGCGACAAAUGCCCUGCUUCCAGGAAAAGCCUCUAAGCAUCAGGUAACAUCAAAUCGUACCCCAAACCGACACAGGUGGUCAGGUAGAGAAUACCAAGGCGCUUGAGAGAACUCGGGUGAAGGAACUAGGCAAAAUGGUGCCGUAACUUCGGGAGAAGGCACGCUGAUAUGUAGGUGAAGCGACUUGCUCGUGGAGCUGAAAUCAGUCGAAGAUACCAGCUGGCUGCAACUGUUUAUUAAAAACACAGCACUGUGCAAACACGAAAGUGGACGUAUACGGUGUGACGCCUGCCCGGUGCCGGAAGGUUAAUUGAUGGGGUUAGCGGUAACGCGAAGCUCUUGAUCGAAGCCCCGGUAAACGGCGGCCGUAACUAUAACGGUCCUAAGGUAGCGAAAUUCCUUGUCGGGUAAGUUCCGACCUGCACGAAUGGCGUAAUGAUGGCCAGGCUGUCUCCACCCGAGACUCAGUGAAAUUGAACUCGCUGUGAAGAUGCAGUGUACCCGCGGCAAGACGGAAAGACCCCGUGAACCUUUACUAUAGCUUGACACUGAACAUUGAGCCUUGAUGUGUAGGAUAGGUGGGAGGCUUUGAAGUGUGGACGCCAGUCUGCAUGGAGCCGACCUUGAAAUACCACCCUUUAAUGUUUGAUGUUCUAACGUGGGCCCCUUACCGGGGUUGCGGACAGUGUCUGGUGGGUAGUUUGACUGGGGCGGUCUCCUCCUAAAGAGUAACGGAGGAGCACGAAGGUUGGCUAAUCCUGGUCGGACAUCAGGAGGUUAGUGCAAUGGCAUAAGCCAGCUUGACUGCGAGCGUGACGGCGCGAGCAGGUGCGAAAGCAGGUCAUAGUGAUCCGGUGGUUCUGAAUGGAAGGGCCAUCGCUCAACGGAUAAAAGGUACUCCGGGGAUAACAGGCUGAUACCGCCCAAGAGUUCAUAUCGACGGCGGUGUUUGGCACCUCGAUGUCGGCUCAUCACAUCCUGGGGCUGAAGUAGGUCCCAAGGGUAUGGCUGUUCGCCAUUUAAAGUGGUACGCGAGCUGGGUUUAGAACGUCGUGAGACAGUUCGGUCCCUAUCUGCCGUGGGCGCUGGAGAACUGAGGGGGGCUGCUCCUAGUACGAGAGGACCGGAGUGGACGCAUCACUGGUGUUCGGGUUGUCAUGCCAAUGGCACUGCCCGGUAGCUAAAUGCGGAAGAGAUAAGUGCUGAAAGCAUCUAAGCACGAAACUUGCCCCGAGAUGAGUUCUCCCUGACUCCUUGAGAGUCCUGAAGGAACGUUGAAGACGACGACGUUGAUAGGCCGGGUGUGUAAGCGCAGCGAUGCGUUGAGCUAACCGGUACUAAUGAACCGUGAGGCUUAACCUU
rnacentral:rRNA from 1 species